AAACCAACAGGGAUUGCCUCAGUAACGGCGAGUGAAGCGGCAAAAGCUCAAAUUUGAAAUCCCCCGGGAAUUGUAAUUUGAAGAGAUUUGGGUCCGGCCGGCGGGGGUUAAGUCCACUGGAAAGUGGCGCCACAGAGGGUGACAGCCCCGUGAACCCCUUUAACGCCCUCAUCCCAGAUCUCCAAGAGUCGAGUUGUUUGGGAAUGCAGCUCUAAGUGGGUGGUAAAUUCCAUCUAAAGCUAAAUACCGGCGAGAGACCGAUAGCGAACAAGUACAGUGAUGGAAAGAUGAAAAGCACUUUGAAAAGAGAGUGAAAAAGUACGUGAAAUUGUUGAAAGGGAAGGGCUUGCAAGCAGACACUUAACUGGGCCAGCAUCGGGGCGGCGGGGAGCAAAACCACCGGGGAAUGUACCUUUCGAGGAUUAUAACCCCGGUCCUUACUCCCUCACCAUCCCGAGGCCUGCAAUCUAAGGAUGCUGGCGUAAUGGUUGCAAGUCGC
rnacentral:rRNA from 1 species